AGAAGUUUGCAAAUGUUUGCCACUGGUGGAUAAUCUGCAGCAAACCUUUGGCAGCAAUAAUAUUUAUUGCAACUAGUGGCAAAUAGUUUACCAGAAGCCAUUUCUGGUGAACACAUGAGUUCCAAGACCAGUAACCGUUGACGACCAGUCAGCAGGGGGAGAAGAAGAAUCCGUUGGAAAAUGGAAACCAAACUAUCUAGCUGGCUUCCUACCGAAGUUGUCCGGCCCCACCUAACCUGAAGUCCGUGCUGCUGGCUGUAGCCUUUGGCAAAGUCAUUGUGCUGAUCGUAACCAAGGGGGCAGGUCUGAAUCAGGCUACAGACACGGGACACAUUCGACGAGGCUACAGAUACGGGACACAUUCGACGAGGCUACAGACACGGGACACAUUCGACGAGGCUACAGACACGGGACACAUUCGACGAGGCUACAGACACCGGGGACUCAUCCGACGAGGCUACAGACACCGGGGACUCAUCCGACGAGGCUGAGAGGCCUCGUAUUCAUGGAUGCCAAGGGAAGACAGGAUUUAAAAAAAUAUAACUUUCGUAUCUAUAUUUCACCAUUUUCUUUCAAGUCAUAAGAGGCUGAAUGUAUCUCACCAGAGAAAGUACCUGAGCGAGCACCCCCCGUCCCUAUGUGUUGACCAUCUAUCUGAUUCUCUCUGGUCAAAAAUGGUAUGAUUAUUGUUGACGCCUGUAGCAUUGAAUGCAAGGGAAACCAGCAAGGAUUUGGCCUCCCUUGAUUAAAACAUUAUAUAAUAAUAGCCAAUCAGCUUCAAAUUAAACUGAGUGAGCUCAACUGUGAAUGGUCCUGGCGAACCAAAACAAAGUGUCAAGGGAGGCCAGUUUGGAUUUGGCUUCACACCAAUCACAUCAAGGCGAAUGUCAUUGACAGAAAAAAAAAUGAAUUUCUAUGAAAACCAAACACUACAUUCCACUGUGAGAAGCUUAUACCAACGGUCAAGCAUGGUGGUGGCAGUGUGAUGGUUUGGAGAUGCUUUGCUGCCUCAGGAUCUGGACGACUUGCCUUAAUAGGAGGAAACAUGAAUUCUUCUCUGUAUCAGAGAAUUCUACAGGAGAAUCUGUAUGUGAGCUGAAGCUCAUCUGGAUCAUGUAGCAAGACAAUGAUCCAAAACAUACAAUCAAGUCUACAUGAAAAUGUUUAAAAAGUAACACAUUUCAAGUUUUGGAAUGACCUAGUCAAAGUCCAGACAUAAUCCCAAUUGAGAUGUUGUGGCAGGACUUGAAACGAGCAGUUCUUGCUUGAAAACCCACAAAUGUCACUCAGUUAAAGCAGUUCUGCAUGGAAGAGUGGGCCAAAAUUCCUCCACAGCGAUGUGAGAGACCGAUCAACAACUACAGGAAGCAUUUGGUUGCAGUCAUUGCAGCUAAAGGUGGCACACCCAGUUAUUGUGUGUAUAGGGGGCAAUUACUUUUUCACACAGGGAAAUUGGGUGUUGCAUAACUUUGUAAAAAUACGUUUUUUUUGUGUGUUAUUUGGAAACUCCGGUUCCCUUCAUCUAAGAGCCGGU
rnacentral:lncRNA from 1 species